rfam:Ictidomys tridecemlineatus contig085748, whole genome shotgun sequence.
GGGGAUACAGCUCAGUUGGUAGAGUGCUUGCCUUGCAUAUAGAAGGCCCUGGGUUCAAUUCCCAGCACCACCA